AGACUUGAUAUAUUGCACAUUUUAUAUUGCUGUAAGGGAAAGGCAACAAAGGAUUAGUUCUGUGAUAUAUGUAGAACUACUACAAAUCUAUUAGAAAUUGUCAAACAACUCAACAGAAAAAUAAGCAAAGGAAAUAAAAAGACAAUUCUCAGAAAAGGAAACCUGAAUCGACAAUAAACAUGUAAGAUACUCAAAAAAUAAAGUGAGAAAACAAAAUGAGAAAAAAUAAGAUUAAAAUGCAAUAUUGUUUAAACCCUCAGAUUGGCAAAACUUUAAAAGCCUGACCACAUAUCAAGUGUGGUGAAAAUAUUAGGAAAAGAAAACUCUACUGCUGGCCAAAGUAUACAACAGCACAACUGCCCUGGAGGGCAGUCUGGCAAAUAUCUAAUAGUACUGAAGAUGCACCUACCCUUUGAUUUAGCAAUUCUGCUCCUCAAUAGACCUGGAACAGUGCUUCUAAAUCUUUGAUGUACAAAUCACCACGGGGGUCUUGUUAAAACACAGAUUCUCCUUCAAUAGGCCUGGGGAAGAACCCGUGAUUCUUAAUUUCUAACAAGCUCCCAGGUGAUGUCAUUGCUGUUGGUACAGGGGCACACUUAAAAUACCAAGACCCAAGAGAAACUCUUGAACAUAAACUCAAGGGACAUACACAAAGAUGUUCAUUAGAGCCACUGAUGUGUUGAUGAUCAUCUGAAAACUAGGGGUAUGCGCAGCUAAAUUUGUAUGGUUGAAUGCAAAAGUUAAAGGAACUGGAGAUACACAUACCAACCUAGAUCAAAAAACAUUGUUGAGUGAGGGAAAACCAUGAUGUAGGAAGGAUACACAGAAUGUGAUAACAUUUAAAUUUUAAAAUAAUACUGUACUUUUUUGAUAUAUAUCAAAAAAUAUAUAUCAAAAGUAAAAUAAUACAAACUUGCACAUGGGAAUGAUAAACAUCAAAUACACAUUAGUGAUUAGUUGCACAAGGGAGG
rnacentral:lncRNA from 10 species